GGAGGACCAUCUCCUAAGGCUAAAUACUCUCUAGUGACCGAUAGUGAACCAGUACCGUGAGGGAAAGGUGAAAAGCACCCCGGAAGGGGAGUGAAAUAGAACCUGAAACCGUGUGCUUACAAGUAGUCAGAGCCCGUUAAUGGGUGAUGGCGUGCCUUUUGUAGAAUGAACCGGCGAGUUACGAUUUGAUGCAAGGUUAAGCAGUAAAUGUGGAGCCGUAGCGAAAGCGAGUCUGAAUAGGGCGUUUAGUAUUUGGUCGUAGACCCGAAACCAGGUGAUCUACCCUUGGUCAGGUUGAAGUUCAGGUAACACUGAAUGGAGGACCGAACCGACUUACGUUGAAAAGUGAGCGGAUGAACUGAGGGUAGCGGAGAAAUUCCAAUCGAACCUGGAGAUAGCUGGUUCUCUCCGAAAUAGCUUUAGGGCUAGCCUCAAGUGAUGAUUAUUGGAGGUAGAGCACUGUUUGGACGAGGGGCCCCUCUCGGGUUACCGAAUUCAGACAAACUCCGAAUGCCAAUUAAUUUAACUUGGGAGUCAGAACAUGGGUGAUAAGGUCCGUGUUCGAAAGGGAAACAGCCCAGACCACCAGCUAAGGUCCCAAAAUAUAUGUUAAGUGGAAAAGGAUGUGGCGUUGCCCAGACAACUAGGAUGUUGGCUUAGAAGCAGCCAUCAUUUAAAGAGUGCGUAAUAGCUCACUAGUCGAGUGACACUGCGCCGAAAAUGUACCGGGGCUAAACAUAUUACCGAAGCUGUGGAUUGUCCUUUGGACAAUGGUAGGAGAGCGUUCUAAGGGCGUUGAAGCAUGAUCGUAAGGACAUGUGGAGCGCUUAGAAGUGAGAAUGCCGGUGUGAGUAGCGAAAGACGGGUGAGAAUCCCGUCCACCGAUUGACUAAGGUUUCCAGAGGAAGGCUCGUCCGCUCUGGGUUAGUCGGGUCCUAAGCUGAGGCCGACAGGCGUAGGCGAUGGAUAACAGGUUGAUAUUCCUGUACCACCUAUAAUCGUUUUAAUCGAUGGGGGGACGCAGUAGGAUAGGCGAAGCGUGCGAUUGGAUUGCACGUCUAAGCAGUAAGGCUGAGUAUUAGGCAAAUCCGGUACUCGUUAAGGCUGAGCUGUGAUGGGGAGAAGACAUUGNGUCUUCGAGUCGUUGAUUUCACACUGCCGAGAAAAGCCUCUAGAUAGAAAAUAGGUGCCCGUACCGCAAACCGACACAGGUAGUCAAGAUGAGAAUUCUAAGGUGAGCGAGCGAACUCUCGUUAAGGAACUCGGCAAAAUGACCCCGUAACUUCGGGAGAAGGGGUGCUCUUUAGGGUUAACGCCCAGAAGAGCCGCAGUGAAUAGGCCCAAGCGACUGUUUAUCAAAAACACAGGUCUCUGCUAAACCGUAAGGUGAUGUAUAGGGGCUGACGCCUGCCCGGUGCUGGAAGGUUAAGAGGAGUGGUUAGCUUCUGCGAAGCUACGAAUCGAAGCCCCAGUAAACGGCGGCCGUAACUAUAACGGUCCUAAGGUAGCGAAAUUCCUUGUCGGGUAAGUUCCGACCCGCACGAAAGGCGUAACGAUUUGGGCACUGUCUCAACGAGAGACUCGGUGAAAUCAUAGUACCUGUGAAGAUGCAGGUUACCCGCGACAGGACGGAAAGACCCCGUGGAGCUUUACUGUAGCCUGAUAUUGAAAUUCGGCACAGCUUGUACAGGAUAGGUAGGAGCCUUUGAAACGUGAGCGCUAGCUUACGUGGAGGCGCUGGUGGGAUACUACCCUAGCUGUGUUGGCUUUCUAACCCGCACCACUUAUCGUGGUGGGAGACAGUGUCAGGCGGGCAGUUUGACUGGGGCGGUCGCCUCCUAAAAGGUAACGGAGGCGCUCAAAGGUUCCCUCAGAAUGGUUGGAAAUCAUUCAUAGAGUGUAAAGGCAUAAGGGAGCUUGACUGCGAGACCUACAAGUCGAGCAGGGUCGAAAGACGGACUUAGUGAUCCGGUGGUUCCGCAUGGAAGGGCCAUCGCUCAACGGAUAAAAGCUACCCCGGGGAUAACAGGCUUAUCUCCCCCAAGAGUUCACAUCGACGGGGAGGUUUGGCACCUCGAUGUCGGCUCAUCGCAUCCUGGGGCUGUAGUCGGUCCCAAGGGUUGGGCUGUUCGCCCAUUAAAGCGGUACGCGAGCUGGGUUCAGAACGUCGUGAGACAGUUCGGUCCCUAUCCGUCGUGGGCGUAGGAAAUUUGAGAGGAGCUGUCCUUAGUACGAGAGGACCGGGAUGGACAUACCUCUGGUGUACCAGUUGUCGUGCCAACGGCAUAGCUGGGUAGCUAUGUGUGGACGGGAUAAGUGCUGAAAGCAUCUAAGCAUGAAGCCCCCCUCAAGAUGAGAUUUCCCAACUUCGGUUAUAAGAUCCCUCAAAGAUGAUGAGGUUAAUAGGUUCGAGGUGGAAGCAUGGUGACAUGUGGAGCUGACGAAUACUAAUCGAUCGAAGACUUAAUCAA
rnacentral:rRNA from 1 species